GUUAAAAGAGGAAAGAAUCUUGUAUAAUCCCUUCAACUCGCGAUUCUUUCACUCUCUCUAAGCAAGCAUGCGUUUCCAGUCCAACCGAAAAAGAAAACGAAAUGUUGAAAGUCAUCCGAUGAACACCUUAAACAUGUUCAAAUUCGAUCAAUUACCACAAGAGACUCAACAAUUUAAACACAAAAAAAUGACCACAAAUUUUUUCGUUCACGGUUAAAUCAAGAUGGCAGGAAUCAAGGCGGUACUCGGAAACUCUAUAGGAUGUGCGAGUAGGUUGCUCUAUCAUUAUGAUUCCACAUGUUUGGGUUGUAGCUGCAGAAAAUCUCAAGUGGUGGUAAGCAAAUCAAGAAAGUUCGUGAGGAAAUGAAAAGAAUUUGUCCUUUGGUGUGUAAGAUUCUGAUGUCAAGUUGAUUUCUGCAUAUUGGCUGCAAGUGUGAAGUUUGCACAUCAUUGGCCUUGGGUGACUUGAACUUAUGUUGGCUUUCUAUGUUGUCUAUCCUUGCCAAAGUCGAAUUAUAUGAUAUGAUAUAUAGCUUUUAAUUCUUCGGGUCACCACAUGUCUUUGGAAUAAUGACUUCAAGUUCUUGGAAUAACCUAUCUGCAUUAUCCAUGGGUAAUCAUGUUGCAAAGGUCUGCAACAUGGCCUACUUCGGGAGGAGUACUCUGAGCUGCGUCCGCAGUCGGCUUUUGAUAUUAUGGCAUGCCGUUUUGUCGUUUUGUCCUUCUGCGGCCUGUGACAGUUUUUUCUUCUUUUUAAAUUGCAUUCUUUUGCUUUGUCUCUUUUUUUGCCGUGCAAAAUGAAUAACGGUUUGUAACGACUUUUGAUUGUUGGUUUAGGAUUUCUACCGGUUUGUGGCUCAUGGUUUUGAAUCAUGCAUGACUUCUGGGUUACUGAUAUGCCAAAUUGUACCAUAUUGAAGGAAAGUAUGGAUCCGACCGUUGGAGGAGGAUUGGAGUUCUGCGAUGAUUUUGCAUCUUCGCGUUUCCGUCCUUGCUGCAGACAGAAGGCUUUGGUUGGUAACAACACAUCCUUUCCAUGGUUUUGAGCGAACGAAGUUGAUAGAUCCUGAAUGCCCAAUCCAUACGUCCAAUUUUAAAAGAUCUUAAAAUGGAGCCAAAACCAACAACAAGCACCGGACCCUCACUCUAUGAUGAUUGGCUUGUCUUUAGUUGUAGGACUUUUAUUACUGGAAUGCUAAUUGUAUGAAACUUUGUAAAUCUGGGAUGCGUUAUUGGAAUUGCAUGAUGAUAUAUGCUGGAACCGAAUAUAUGAGACGGUCGAUGUAUGUAAUCAAAAGUUGGAAUGGAAUUGGCGUAAUAAAA